GACGAACGCUGGCGGCGUGCUUAACACAUGCAAGUCGAACGGAAAGGCCCUGCUUUUGUGGGGUGCUCGAGUGGCGAACGGGUGAGUAACACGUGAGUAACCUGCCCUUGACUUUGGGAUAACUUCAGGAAACUGGGGCUAAUACCGGAUAGGAGCUCCUGCUGCAUGGUGGGGGUUGGAAAGUUUGGGCGGUUGGGGAUGGACUCGCGGAUUAUCAGCUUGUUGGUGGGGUAGUGGCUUACCAAGGAUUUGACGGGUAGUCGGCCUGAGAGGGUGACCGGCAACAUUGGGACUGAGAUACGGCCCAGACUCCUACGGGACACAGCAGUGGGGAAUAUUGCACAAUGGGCGGAAGCCUGAUGCAGCAACGCCGCGUGCGGGAUGACGGCCUUCGGGUUGUAAACCGCUUUCGCCUGUGACGAAGCGUGAGUGACGGUAAUGGGUAAAGAAGCACCGGCUAACUACGUG
rnacentral:rRNA from 1 species